AACGAACGCUGGCGGCAGGCUUAACACAUGCAAGUCGAACGCAUCCUUCGGGGUGAGUGGCAGACGGGUGAGUAACGCGUGGGAACGUGCCCUUCAGUUCGGGAUAACCCAGGGAAACUUGGGCUAAUACCGGAUACGUGCGAGAGCAGAAAGAUUUAUCGCUGAAGGAUCGGCCCGCGUCUGAUUAGCUAGUUGGUGGGGUAAUGGCCCACCAAGGCGACGAUCAGUAGCUGGUCUGAGAGGAUGAUCAGCAACAUUGGGACUGAGACACGGCCCAAACUCCUACGGGAGGCGGCAGUGGGGAAUAUUGGACAAUGGGCGCAAGCCUGAUCCAGCCAUGCCGCGUGAGUGAUGAAGGCCUUAGGGUUGUAAAGCUCUUUCGUCCGGGACGAUAAUGACGGUACCGGAAGAAGAAGCCCCGGCUAACUUCGUGCCAGCAGCCGCCGUAAUAC
rnacentral:rRNA from 1 species